GCCGGGCGCGGUGGCGCGCGCCUGUAGUCCCAGCUACUCGGGAGGCUGAGGCCGGAGGAUCGCUUGAGUCCAGGAGUUCUGGGCUGUCGUGCGCUAUGCCGAUCGGGUGUCCGCACUAAGUUCGGCAUCAAUAUGGUGACCUCCCGGGAGCGGGGGACCACCAGGUUGCCUAAGGAGGGGUGAACCGGCCCAGGUCGGAAACGGAGCAGGUCAAAACUCCCGUGCUGAUCAGUAGUGGGAUCGCGCCUGUGAAUAGCCACUGCACUCCAGCCUGGGCAACAUAGCGAGACCCUGUCUCC
rnacentral:SRP_RNA from 1 species